rnacentral:rRNA from 1 species
UAUUAAAGGCAACGCCUGCCCAGUGAAUAAUUAAACGGCCGCGGUACCCUAACCGUGCAAAGGUAGCGCAAUCACUUGUCUAUUAAUUGUAGACCCGUAUGAAAGGCACAAUGAGGGUCCAACUGUCUCUUUUAGUUAAUCAAUUAAACUGAUCUCCCAGUCCAAAAGCUGGGAUAUAAACAUAAGACCAGAAGACCCUGUGAAACUUUAACUAAACUAUUAAAUCAAAUAAUAGCUCCUUUAGGUUGGGGCGACCUUGGAAAAUAAAAGAACUUCCAAAGACACAGUAUACAACUAUACUGCCCAGGCCAACAAGCCAACAAUGACCCAGCAUAGCUGACAACUGAACCAAGCUACUCCAGGGAUAACAGCGCUAUCUUCUUCAAGAGCCCAUAUCAAAAAGAAGGUUUACGACCUCGAUGUUGGAUCAGGACAUCCUAAUGGUGCAGCCGCUAUUAAGGGUUCGUUUGUUCAACGAUUAAUAGUCCUACGUGAUCUGA